AACGAACGCUGGCGGCGCGCCUAAUACAUGCAAGUCGAGCGAGAAGACGUAGCAAUACGUUUGUAAAGCGGCGAACGGGUGAGGAAUACAUGGGUAACCUACCCUCGAGUGGGGAAUAACUAGCCGAAAGGUUAGCUAAUACCGCGUACGCUCCUUGGACUUCGGUUCAGGGAGGAAAGCGAUACCGUGGGUAUCGCGCUCUUGGAUGGGCUCAUGUCCUAUCAGCUUG
rnacentral:rRNA from 1 species